AAGCAGUAGCAAUACUGGUGAGUAAAGUGGCGUACGGGUGAGUAACACGUGGAUCAUCUACCUUCUAGUGGGGAAUAACCCUGGGAAACCGGGGCUAAUACCGCAUAAUCCCGAGAGGGGAAAGUCGCAAGACGCUGAGAGAGGAGCCCGCGGCCGAUUAGCUAGUUGGAGGGGUAAGAGCCCCCCAAGGCAGAGAUCGGUAGCCGGCCUGAGAGGGCACACGGCCACACUGGCACUGAAACACGGGCCAGACUCCUACGGGAGGCAGCAGUGGGGAAUCUUGCACAAUGGGGGCAACCCUGAUGCAGCGACGCCGCGUGAGCGAUGAAGCCCUUCGGGGUGUAAAGCUCUUUCGGCAGGGAAGAUAAUGACGGUACCUGCAGAAGCAGCUGCGGCUAACUACGUGCCAGCAGCCGCGGUAAUACGUAGGCAGCAAGCGUUGUUCGGAGUUACUGGGCGUAAAGGGUGUGUAGGCGGCUUUUUAAGUUUGGUGUGAAAUCUCCCGGCUUAACUGGGAGGGUGCGCCGAAUACUGAAAGGCUAGAGUGCGGGAGAGGAAAGUGGAAUUCCUGGUGUAGCGGUGAAAUGCGUAGAUAUCAGGAGGAACACCGGUGGUGUAGACGGCUUUCUGGACCGUAACUGACGCUGAGACACGAAAGCGUGGGUAGCAAACAGGAUUAGAUACCCUGGUAGUCCACGCCCUAAACGAUGCAUAUUUGGUGUGGGCAGUUCAUUCUGUCCGUGCCGGAGCUAACGCGUUAAAUAUGCCGCCUGGGGAGUACAGU
rnacentral:rRNA from 1 species